UGCCAGCCGCCGCGGUAAUACGGAGGGGGCGAGCGUUAUUCGGAAUUAUUGGGCGUAAAGGGCGCGUAGGUGGCUUGAUAAGUCAGUGGUGAAAUCCCUCGGCUCAACCGAGGAACUGCCUUUGAAACUGUCAAGCUUGAGGCCGGGAGAGGGUGGUGGAAUUCCCGGUGUAGCGGUGAAAUGCGUAGAUAUUGGGGGGAACACCAGUGGCGAAGGCGGCCACCUGGACCAAUACUGACGCUGAGGUGCGAAGGCGUGGGUAGCAAACAGGAUUAGAUA
rnacentral:rRNA from 1 species